rnacentral:rRNA from 1 species
UACGUAGGGUGCGAGCGUUAAUCGGAAUUACUGGGCGUAAAGUGUGCGCAGGCGGCCGCGCAAGUCGAGUGUGAAAGCCCCGGGCUUAACUUGGGAAUUGCGCUCGAAACUACGUGGCUGGAGUAUGGCAGAGGAAGGUGGAAUUCCACGUGUAGCGGUGAAAUGCGUAGAGAUGUGGAGGAACACCGAUGGCGAAGGCAGCCUUCUGGGCCAAUACUGACGCUCAUGCACGAAAGCGUGGGGAGCAAACAGG